GAGUUUGAUUCUGGCUCAGAACGAACGCUGGCGGCGCGUCUUAAGCAUGCAAGUCGAACGGUAAGGGAGAGCUUGCUCUCCCCUAGAGUGGCGGACUGGUGAGUAACGCGUGGGUGACCUGCCCUGAAGAUGGGGAUAGCUAGUAGAAAUAUUAGAUAAUACCGAAUGUGCUCAUUUACAUAAAGGUAAAUGAGGAAAGGAGCUACGGCUCCGCUUCAGGAUGGGCCCGCGUCCCAUUAGCUAGUUGGUGAGGUAAAGGCCCACCAAGGCAACGAUGGGUAUCCGGCCUGAGAGGGUGAACGGACACAUUGGGACUGAGAUACGGCCCAAACUCCUACGGGAGGCAGCAGCUAAGAAUCUUCCGCAAUGGACGAAAGUCUGACGGAGCGACGCCGUGUGAAUGAAGAAGGCCGAAAGGUUGUAAAAUUCUUUUGCAGAUGAAGAAUAACCACAGGAGGGAAUGCCCUGUGAGAUGA
rnacentral:rRNA from 1 species